GCGCUGCGUCGGGGGACGGGGCUACAAGCCGUCGCUGGGGGCGGGGCUUGCGGCCCACCUGUAGGUCCCGGUGCCACCUCGUCAGUGUCCCGAGAGAUCCCCAGAAGAACGAGAGGGCUGAACAGGGGACCCCACUGACGUCCGGUGGGCCGACUUUACGAUCCUUUAGGGCUAUGAAGUCAGAGCUAUUACUAUCAGCAUUUUACCCAUGAAGAAACCGAGGUUUAGAGAGAUUCUUUUCCAGGAACUGGAUAGCCAGCAAGAUGUGAAGCAGGGUGAAGAAACUAAGACUCAGAGAAGACAAAUGACAUGCCCAAAGACACAUUGAUAAGAACGCAUCUGGUAGUGGUGUUCGAGUCCAGCGUUGCAGCAGAGAGAUGGGUAACUGUAUGGCCGAACAGCUGUCUUCUCGUGGAAGAAGGAGGCCAAUGUCCAGGAGUGGCAGGCAUACUGGAACUUGGACUUCUGUAGGCCAACCUGGGUUCCACUUGGUAGAUGGGGGUCUUGCUGUGUUGCCCAGGCUGGUCUCAAACUCCUGGC
rnacentral:lncRNA from 1 species